AUCUUCUUAUGGAGUACCUUACUGGGGUUCUCUGCAUUUCCUGAAUUUGAAGAUUUUACCUCUCUAGCCAGAAGGGGGAAAUUCUCAUGGAUGAUAUCUUAAAACAUGUUUUACAAGUUGUUCCAUUCUCUCCAUCUCUUUCAGGUGUGGAGUCUAAGAAGUCCAAGGUUGAGGAGCUGCAUCUGAUGAGAGCCUUCUUGCUGGUUGGGAUCCUCUGCAGAGUCUUGAGUUGGGCAUUAAAAACUGUAUCACAGACACAUGAAUAUUGUGUGAGUAUUUCAAAGUAAAUUUGGAUUAAAAUUCAUCAAAUUCAUGACAUACAUGGAGUUCCCUGAAGCAUUAUUUCAUAUUUCCGGAUUUUCAAAGUGACUACAUAUUCAAGCAUGUAUAUAUACAAGCAUAGGCCUCAUCUCCAAGUAUUACCACACUGAGGGUCAAGACUUCAACAUAUGGUGGAGAGCAGGAGGUAUUGUGUACUUUUCAAAAUAAGAUCUCCGACAUAGCUGUUUAUCUGGAGUCCCGUGUUUAAUCCUGACAAGAAUGUUGUGGAUGUUGGCUGAAGAAAGUUCUGGAGACUGGAAAAUCCAAAACCACGGCACCAGCAUCUGGUGAAGAUCUUUUCAUGGCAAGAGAGAAAACACAUGCAUGUCAGCUCAAAUCUCUUUCUCUUUUAAUAAUGUUGCUAGUCCCAUCAUGGAGGCCCCAGCCUUAUGACCUUAUCUAAUGCUAAUUACAUCCAAAAGGCUCCACCUCCAAUCAACAUAUGAAUUUGGAAAUUAGGUUUCCAAUACGUGAAAUUUGGGAAAUGUAUUUAAACCACAAACAGCCAGUUUAAAAGAUUUUGCAUUGAAUAAUAAAAGUGAACCAACAAAUGUAU
rnacentral:lncRNA from 10 species